rnacentral:rRNA from 1 species
ACUCCUACGGGAGGCAGCAGUGGGGAAUAUUGCACAAUGGGGAAACCCUGAUGCAGCCAUGCCGCGUGUGUGAAGAAGGCCUCGGUUGUAAGCACUUCAGUAGGGAGGAAGGUAGUGUAGUUAACACCUGCAUUAUUUGACGUUACCUACAGAAGAAGCACCGGCUAACUCCGUGCCAGCAGCCGCGGUAAUACGGAGGGUGCGAGCGUUAAUCGGAAUUACUGGGCGUAAAGCGCAUGCAGGCGGCCUGUUAAGUCAGAUGUGAAAGCCCGGGGGCUUAACCUCGGAAUUGCAUUUGAAACUGGCAGGCUAGAGUCUUGUAGAGGGGGUAGAAUUUCAGGUGUAGCGGUGAAAUGCGUAGAGAUCUGAAGGAAUACCAGUGGCGAAGGCGGCCCCCUGGACAAAGACUGACGCUCAGAUGCGAAAGCGUGGGGAGCAAACAGGAUUAGAUACCCUGGUAGACUGUCA